UUUUUUUUCUCUCUCGUUUUUUUUUUCUUUCUUGUUGCUUAGGCCUUGUUGUUCUUUUUUUGUAACAAAUUAAUCAGCAGCCAUGAACGACAAGGCUUCCGUUUCUAAGGAGCUUAAUGCCAAACAUGCUAAGAUAUUGGAGGGCCUUCUUAAGCUUCCAGAAAAUAGGGAAUGUGCAGAUUGUCGGGGAAGGGCCCCGAGGUGGGCGAGCAUCAACCUUGGAAUAUUCAUCUGCCUGCAAUGUUCAGGAAUUCAUAGGAGUCUUGGGGUACAUAUCUCCAAGGUAAGGUCGACAACUUUGGACACAUGGCUGCCGGAGCAGAUUUCUUUUAUGCAAUGUGUAGGUAAUGAGAAGUCGAACAAUUAUUGGGAGGCAGAUCUAUCAGCAAGUGUAGAUAGAAGCGACAUUGGGAAAUUCAUCCGAACCAAGUAUCAGGAUAAAAAAUGGGCUUCGAGAUAUAAUCCUCAACCAGGACUAUCUGAUAUGAUUGGUGAAACAAGUGAUUUCGGAGGAAAAGCUGAUGUUCCAAGAAAAGCAAGAAAAUAUUCCUUGGAGGAGGAUGUUUUUAGUAUACAACCUCCACAAGUUCCUACAACGACAAGAUCUCGUGGGGUUUCUUUGGACACGAUGGAUGAAUUUCUUAAUUUACCUCCAAAAAAUGGUCUCAUGAGUGCUCCAUCCGUGAAGCACAAAGAAGAUACGCAAGAUCUCUUCAGUUUGCUCUAUGCCCCAGAAGGAAACCAAGAUCGCACUAUUGUGCCUCCAUCUCGUUGGGCAACUUUCGAGUGAGCUGAUGAGACCAAGAGAAGAACCAGUUGGGAGUUAUAUUGAAGCACUUUUGCAUUGGAUUAGAGUUCAUGGAUGAUACAAACAAAUAGAAAUGCACUUCAACAUGAUGUGCCUCUUUUUCUUGUGAGAAUACUUAUUGGGAUUGUUAUUUGGGCUGAUUAGUCUCUAUCCAUUGUUAUUAGUUUUCAUGGGCCAAGCAACUUGUAUAGUGUUAAUACUAGUUGCUUCCAAUAUGAUUAAUUAAAGAGUUGGCAACUGGAUUCUAUCACUUGUGUCUUAAAGAACUAAUGUAUGGUUCAUUAUUUUUUUUCUUGUAUAGAAAGUGAUUUAAUUUCCUUCAUAUAAUACUACAAUUUGUUUUGAUC